rnacentral:rRNA from 1 species
UACGGAGGGAGCAAGCGUUACUCGGAAUUACUGGGCGUAAAGCGUGCGCAGGCGGUUGUGUAAGCCAGAUGUGAAAUCCCCGGGCUUAACCUGGGAAUGGCAUUUGGGACUGCACGGCUAGAGUACGGCAGAGGAGACUAGAAUUCCUGGUGUAGCAGUGAAAUGCUUAGAUAUGACAUAGAACACCAAUUGCGAAGGCAGCUGGCUACACAAAUAUUGACACUGAGGCACGAAAGCGUGGGGAUCAAACAGG